AAAGAUACCCAGGUAGUCCUGGCCCUAAACGAUGAAUGCUUGGUGUGGCGGGUAUCGAUCCCUGCCGUGCCGAAGCUAACGCAUUAAGCAUUCCGCCUGGGGAGUACGGUCGCAAGGCUGAAACUCGAAAGGAAUUGACGGGGGCCCGCACAAGCGGUGGAGCAUGUGGUUCAAUUCGACGCAACGCGAAGAACCUUACCCAGGCUUGAACAGCGAGUGACCAGUCCCGAAAGGGACCUUCCGCAAGGACACUCGUAGAGGUGCUGCAUGGCUGUCGUCAGCUCGUGUCGUGAGAUGUUGGGUUAAGUCCCGCAACGAGCGCAACCCUUGUCUGCUGUUGCCAUCACGUUAUGGUGGGCACUCUGCAGAGACUGCCGGUGAUAAACCGGAGGAAGGUGGGGAUGACGUCAAGUCAGCAUGGCCUUUAUGUCUGGGGCUACACACGUGCUACAAUGGCCGGUACAAACCGUCGCGAGCCCGCGAGGGGGAGCUAAUCGGAGAAAGCCGGUCUCAGUUCGGAUAGCGA
rnacentral:rRNA from 1 species